AGAGUUUGAUCCUGGCUCAGGAUGAACGCUGGCGGCGUGCCUAACACAUGCAAGUCGAGCGAUUUACUUCGGUAAAGAGCGGCGGACGGGUGAGUAACGCGUGGGUAACCUACCCUGUACACACGGAUAACAUACCGAAAGGUAUGCUAAUACGAGAUAAUAUGCUUUUAUCGCAUGGUAGAAGUAUCAAAGCUUUUGCGGUACAGGAUGGACCCGCGUCUGAUUAGCUAGUUGGUAAGGUAACGGCUUACCAAGGCGACGAUCAGUAGCCGACCUGAGAGGGUGAUCGGCCACAUUGGAACUGAGACACGGUCCAAACUCCUACGGGAGGCAGCAGUGGGGAAUAUUGCACAAUGGGCGAAAGCCUGAUGCAGCAACGCCGCGUGAGCGAUGAAGGCCUUCGGGUCGUAAAGCUCUGUCCUCAAGGAAGAUAAUGACGGUACUUGGGGAGGAAGCCCCGG
rnacentral:rRNA from 1 species